AUUGAACGCUGGCGGCGUGGCUAAAGCAUGCAAGUCGAGCGAACCCGCAAGGGUGAGCGGCGGACGGGUUAGUAAUACGAUCGAACGUACCUCGAGGUGGGGGAUAGGCACGGGAAACUGUGCGUAAUACCCCAUGAUCUCUCCGGAGCAAAGGUUUACCGCCUUGAGAUCGGCGAUCGUCCUAUCAGCUAGUUGGCGGGGUAAAGGCCCACCAAGGCUAUGACGGGUAGCAGGNGUGAGAGCACGACCUGCAACAUCGGGACUGAGACACUGCCCGGACUCCUACGGGAGGCUGCAGCGACGAAUCUUCCGCAAUGGGCGCAAGCCUGACGGAGCGACGCCGCGUGUGGGAUGAAGCGCCUUGGUGUGUAAACCACUGUCAAGGGGGUAGAACCAAUGAUCAACCCCCAAAGGAAGAGACGGCUAACCCUGUGCCAGCAGCCGCUGUAAC
rnacentral:rRNA from 1 species